ensembl:processed_transcript Gm20476 predicted gene 20476
CAGUGAGGACUAGACUUUUAACCACUCGGGUUCCCUCCAAGGCACCCUCUCACAAUGACACAACACAGAGAGACCCAAAGGCAGCGGGUGGAUCCCUCUGCUGUGAGCCUCCAUUUUCCACGUCUACUCCAUUGGACCAAAGAGUCCUAUCUCACAGGAUGAUGGCAAACUCGGUGGUCCCGGCCCUAUAUACCCUUGUCUUUCCCAGACUCUAAAGGUCCUGGUUCCUUCUUGGGUCACUCCCGCUGCUUACAAACCUAUGCCCUGUGGGUCUGGAUGCACCUAUAAUUGCCUUCCCUCUCUCCAACAAGUUUUGAAAGCAUUAGAAAGAAGCCAGGAGCCGUCCUCCGCCUGCCACAUAGAGACAUACACUCCAAAGACCUUCAGACUAAUAUCACCCACCCCGACACAUAGAGACACCGAGGCCUAGAGAUCAGGAGAAUGGGAAAUAAAACCCCAGAAGCUGGGUA